UACGGAGGAUGCGAGCGUUAUCCGGAUUUAUUGGGUUUAAAGGGUGCGUAGGCGGCUUUUUUAAGUCAGCGGUGAAAUUUUGCAGCUUAACUGUAACAGUGCCGUUGAUACUGGUAAGCUAGAGUACAGUAGAGGAAAGUGGAAUUCCUGGUGUAGCGGUGAAAUGCGCAGAUAUCAGGAAGAACACCAGUGGCGAAAGCGGCUUUCUGGACUGUUACUGACGCUGAGGUGUGAAAGCUAGGGGAGCGAACAGGAUUAGAUACCCCGGUAGUCCCUGA
rnacentral:rRNA from 1 species